GGCGGCGGGUAAGGUACACGCAGUAAAUGAACGCAAGGGAAGGUCGAAUUGAGGGAGGUAUAGGGAGCGGAGACGUGAAGCGGAACGUCGUGGCAAGGCAGCAACGGAAGAAGGGGUGUAGUAGUAGCAGCGGGGAGGUGUCUGCGGCCCUCUGGCUGAGCCGCUACCUAGGAGGCGGGCGAGUCAGGUACAGACGCUGGCUGCUGGACGUGCUGUUCUCGGAGCUGCCUACGACAAGAACGACGAUGCUGACGACGAGGUCGUAGGACCUGAAGGACACGACGCGAACUACGACGACGAGGAGGAGGACGGCAAGGGUGCCGAAUGCCGCCUUCGCGCGCCUCUACGGACUGAAUAAAGCCUCAUGAUUAUAUCAGUAACCCACUAUAUAAAAUAUAUCGGACAUACAUUAUUCCUCUAAAUACCUAGUUCACGACAUUACACAACUGAAUAGAAGGCGAUUUCAUCAGCACGUUAAACCAGACCCUUUAAA
rnacentral:rRNA from 1 species